rnacentral:rRNA from 1 species
UACGGAGGGUGCAAGCGUUAUCCGGAUUCAUUGGGCGUAAAGAGCUCGUAGGCGGUUCGAUAAGUCGGGUGUGAAACCUCCAGGCUCAACCUGGAGACGCCACCCGAUACUGUCGUGACUAGAGUCCAGUAGGGGAGCGUGGAAUUCCUGGUGUAGCGGUGAAAUGCGCAGAUAUCAGGAGGAACACCAGCGGCGAAGGCGGCGCUCUGGGCUGGAACUGACGCUGAGGAGCGAAAGCGUGGGGAGCGAACAGG